rnacentral:rRNA from 1 species
CCUACGGGAGGCAGCAGUGGGGAAUAUUGCACAAUGGGGGAAACCCUGAUGCAGCGACGCCGCGUGAGUGAAGAAGUAUUUCGGUAUGUAAAGCUCUAUCAGCAGGGAAGAAAAUGACGGUACCUGAUUAAGAAGCCCCGGCUAACUACGUGCCAGCAGCCGCGGUAAUACGGAGGGGGCAAGCGUUAUCCGGAUUUACUGGUUGUAAAGGUAGCGUAGACGGCAGGGCAAGUCUGAAGUGAAAUGCCGGGGCUUAACCCGGGAACUGCUUUGGAAACUGUGCAGCGAGAGUGCAGGAGAGGAAAGUGGAAUUCCAGGUGUAGGGGUGAAAUGCGUAGAUAUUAGGAGGAACACCAGGGGCGAAGGCGGCUAACUGGAACAUAACUGACGUUGAGGAGCGAAAGCGUGGGGAGCAAACAGGAUUAGAUACCCGGGUAGUC